rnacentral:rRNA from 1 species
GAUGAACGCUGGCGGCAGGCUUAAUACAUGCAAGUCGAACGGUAACGACCGGUAGCAAUACCGGGGCGACGAGUGGCGCACGGGUGCGUAACGCGUAUGCAACCUACCCUCAACCGGGGCAUAACGCCGAGAAAUUGGCGCUAAUAUCCCAUGUGUAUAAGGGACGGCAUCGUUUUUUAUAUAAAGAUCCGUUGGUUAAGGAUGGGCAUGCGUAACAUUAGCUAGUUGGCGGGGUAACGGCCCACCAAGGCGACGAUGUUUAGGGGUUCUGAGAGGAUUCACCCCCACACUGGAACUGAGACACGGUCCAGACUCCUACGGGAGGCAGCAGUAGGGAAUAUUGGGCAAUGGAGGCAACUCUGACCCAGCCAUGCCGCGUGAAGGAAGACGGCCCUAUGGGUUGUAAACUUCUUUUGCCGCAGAGUAACCGCGGGGACGUGUCCCCGCCUGAGAGUAUGCGGCGAAUAAGUAUCGGCUAACUCCGUGCCAGCAGCCGCGGUAAUACGGAGGAUACGAGCGUUAUCCGGAUUUAUUGGGUUUAAAGGGUGCGCAGGCGGACCGUUAAGUCAGGGGUGAAAAGUUGGGGCUCAACUCCAAUCGUGCCUUUGAUACUGGCGGACUAGAGUGUAGGGGACGUGACUGGAAUGUGAUGUGUAGCGGUGAAAUGCUUAGAUAUGUCACAGAACGCCGAUCGUGAAGACAGGUCACGAAUCUACAACUGACGCUCA